rnacentral:rRNA from 1 species
CCUACGGGUGGCAGCAGUGAGGAAUAUUGGUCAAUGGUCGGGAGACUGAACCAGCCAAGCCGCGUGAGGGAGGAAGGUACAGAGUAUCGUAAACCUCUUUUGUCAGGGAACAAAGGCGGGGACGUGUCCCCGGAUGAGUGUACCUGAAGAAAAAGCAUCGGCUAACUCCGUGCCAGCAGCCGCGGUAAUACGGAGGAUGCGAGCGUUAUCCGGAUUUAUUGGGUUUAAAGGGUGCGCAGGCGGUCUGUUAAGUCAGCGGUCAAAGCCCGGGGCUCAACCCCGGCCCGCCGUUGAAACUGGCAGUCUCGAGUUGGAGAGAAGUAUGCGGAAUGCGUGGUGUAGCGGUGAAAUGCUUAGAUAUCACGAAGAACCCCGAUUGCGAAGGCAGCUUACUAAACUGUGACUGACAUUGAUGCUCGAAAGUGUGGGUAUCAAACAGGAUUAGAUACCCGUGUAGUC